UGGGCUCAAAUGAGAGAGGCCCAAGUCCAGAAUUUUUCUUUUAUUUAUUUAUUUAAUUUUUUUUCGUUUUUCGUUUCUUUUUUUUUAAAACACGUGGGCUUCGCCUAGCGAGUAUGACAGUUCAAGAAAUUCCUCUGAGCGUAGGUGAUUCUGGUGGCUUUUCUUGGGACUCGCUAGGCGACCCAUUCUGCUCGCCUAGCAAAAAUGACGGCUCAUGAACAAACUUU
rnacentral:lncRNA from 1 species